rnacentral:rRNA from 1 species
GACGAACGCUGGCGGCGUGCUUAACACAUGCAAGUCGAACGAUGAAGAAGAGACACGCGAACUUCGGUUCAACUUUCACUUCGGAUUAGUGGCAGACGGGUGAGUAACGCGUGAGCAACCUACCUCUUACAAAGGGAUAGCCUCGGGAAACCGUGAUUAAUACCAUAUGACACAUUCAUAAGGCAUCUUAAGAAUGUUAAAGCUACGGCGGUAAGAGAUGGGCUCGCGUCCCAUUAGCUAGUUGGUGAGGUAACGGCCCACCAAGGCGACGAUGGGUAACCGGCCUGAGAGGGUGAACGGUCACAUUGGAACUGAGACACGGUCCAAACUCCUACGGGAGGCAGCAGUGGGGAAUAUUGCACAAUGGAGGGAACUCUGAUGCAGCGACGCCGCGUGAGCGAUGAAGGAAUUCGUUUCGUAAAGCUCUGUUCUAUGGGAAGAAAAGGACUGUACCAUAGGAGAAAGCCCCGGCUAAAUACGUG